GAUGAACGCUAGCGGUAGGCUUAACACAUGCAAGUCGAGGGGCAGCACAGGUAGCAAUACUAGGUGGCGACCGGCGUACGGGUGAGUAACGCGUAUGCAACCUACCUAUAACUGGAGAAUAGCCCCCGGAAACGGGGAUUAAUGUUCCAUAAUGUUCAGAGACUGCAUAGUUUUUGGACUAAAGCUCCGGCGGUUAUAGAUGGGCAUGCGUGCCAUUAGCUAGUUGGUGAGGUAACGGCUCACCAAGGCUACGAUGGUUAGGGGGUCUUAAAGGAUGAUCCCCCACACUGGUACUGAGACACGGACCAGACUCCUACGGGAGGCAGCAGUGAGGAAUAUUGGUCAAUGGGCGCAAGCCUGAACCAGCCAAGCCGCGUGAAGGAUGACGGCCCUAUGGGUUGUAAACUUCUUUUUUACGGGAAGAAACCUCCGACGUGUCGGAGACUGACAGUACCGUACGAAUAAGCAUCGGCUAACUCCGUGCCAGCCGCCGCCGUAAAAC
rnacentral:rRNA from 1 species